rnacentral:rRNA from 1 species
AGCAGCCGCGGUAAUUCCAGCUCCAAUAGCGUAUAUUAAAGUUGUUGCAGUUAAAAAGCUCGUAGUUGAAUUUCGGGGUCAGUAGGUUGGUCAUGCCACUGGUAUGCACUGGUCUCACUGAUUCCUCCUUCCUGAUGAGCCGUAAUGCCAUUAAUUUGGUGUUGCGGGGAAUCUGGACUGUUACUUUGAAAAAUUAGAGUGUUUAAAGCAGGCUAACGCUUGAAUACAUUAGCAUGGAAUAAUGAAAUAGGACGAUCGAUCCUAUUUUGUUGGUUUCUAGGAUUGACGUAAUGAUUAAUAGGGAUAGUUGGGGGCAUUAGUAUUCAAUUGUCAGAGGUGAAAUUCUUGGAUUUAUUGAAGACUAACUACUGCGAAAGCAUUUGCCAAGGAUGUUUUCAUUAAUCAAGAACGAAAGUUAGGGGAUCGAAGACGAUCAGAUACCGUCGUAGUCUUAACCAUAAACUAUGCCGACUAGGGAUCGGAUGAUGUUAAUUUUUAAUGA